rnacentral:tRNA from 1 species
UGAAAGAUAAGCUAAAUUUAAGCUAAUGGGUUCAUACCCCAUCAAUGAGUGAAUCUCUUUCAA